GGAGAGGGUAGGUUAGGUAAGUAGUGGGUAGGCAGGUAAGAUAGGAGAGGGUAGGUUAGGUAAGUAGUGGGUAGGCAGGUAAGAUAGGAGAGGGUAGGUUAGGUAAGUAGUGGGUAGGCAGGUAAGAUAGGAGAGGGUAGGUUAGGUAAGUAGUGGGUAGGCAGGUAAGAUAGGAGAGGGUAGGUUAGGUAAGUAGUGGGUAGGCAGGUAAGAUAGGAGAGGGUAGGUUAGGUAAGUAGUGGGUAGGCAGGUAAGAUAGGAGAGGGUAGGUUAGGUAAGUAGUGGGUAGGCAGGUAAGAUAGGAGAGGGUAGGUUAGGUAAGUAGUGGGUAGGCAGGUAAGAUAGGAGAGGGUAGGUUAGGUAAGUAGUGGGUAGGCAGGUAAGAUAGGAGAGGGUAGGUUAGGUAAGUAGUGGGUAGGCAGGUAAGAUAGGAGAGGGUAGGUUAGGUAAGUAGUGGGUAGGCAGGUUAGAUAGGAGAGGGUAGGUUAGGUAAGUAGUGGGUAGGCAGGUAAGAUAGGAUAGGAGAGGGUAGGUUAGGUAAGACCUACAGUUAGGUUAGGUAAGACCUACAGUCCAAGACCUCUUUACCUCCACCUACAGUCCCAGACCUCCACCUACAGUCCCAGACCUCUUUACCUCCACCUACAGUCCCAGACCUCUUUACCUCCACCUACAGUCCCAGACCUCUUUACCUCCACCUACAGUCCCAGA